GUAUGGAUGUGAAGUCUGCAAGGUGUGAGGUUCUACACUUGGAAAAAGUCUGAAUGUCUCUUCAUCCAUUUGGCCUGUACUUUGUAAGUGGUGAGUAAAUCUCUUUGAUAUGUAAAUGCCAUUAGCUUUGUUCUAGUAUCAUAUCCAAAUGAAGGACAAAAAACAUUCAUAUUUACCCCACAGAAUAAUAAUUAAGCCUCAUUUUUGUUAUAUUUGGAAUGUGACAAGCGCCAUCUUCUAACCAAGUCCAAACAUGAGUGGCCUAACUUGACCCUAGGGAAAGGAAUUGUGAUGUCCGUCCUAUUGGAUCGUGGGUGGGACGUGCAACAUGUCUAUGGAAUGGGAAAAUAAUAACAAAUUUGUAGAUGCAAUUAUUAUUUCUG